CGCCGUCUUACGUGGCUUACGAAACUAGUGAUGUGCGAGACUACUGAUUUCCCUUUCCCAUGUGAUACCAAGUAAAAUCCAGGCUGGAUUCGGCGAUACUGUGUGUUUGGAAAAUUGAACCGAGGACACACCAGUAGCCGUGGGACCUUUGGUGGGAGGUGUGGGUGUGGGUGUAGCCAGGAGGCCGGGCUACAGGCACCAUCAGGCCUGAGGAUGGCUGUAGCCAGGAGGCCGGGCUACAGGCACCAUCAGGCCUGAGGAUGGCUGGCCACGCCCAAGGAGGAUGCCACACACCUGCAGUGGAUCAGCGUCGGCGGAGGGAGCGACUUCAUGGUGUGGUGAAGCCUCCACCGACGUGGGAUGAUUGAGUGGGACUCCAUGAGGAGCAUGGGAAGCCCGAGAGCAGCGAACAUUGGGAGUGCUGACACACAGGAGAGGAGAGCAUGAGGCAAUUGGGAAGAAGACACCGCAUGGGAGUCAGGGGAGUGCAU